UCGAACGAGAGAGAAGGAGCUUGCUUCUUCGAUCGAGUGGCGAACGGGUGAGUAACGCGUGGGGAACCUGCCUCAAAGAGGGGGACAACAGUUGGAAACGACUGCUAAUACCGCAUAAGCCCACGGGUCGGCAUCGACCUGAGGGAAAAGGAGUGAUCCGCUUUGAGAUGGCCUCGCGUCCGAUUAGCUAGUUGGUGAGGUAAUGGCCCACCAAGGCGACGAUCGGUAGCCGGACUGAGAGGUUGAACGGCCACAUUGGGACUGAGACACGGCCCAGACUCCUACGGGAGGCAGCAGUGGGGAAUAUUGCACAAUGGGGGAAACCCUGAUGCAGCGACGCCGCGUGGAGGAAGAAGGUCUUCGGAUUGUAAACUCCUGUCGUUGAGGAAGAUAAUGACGGUACUCAACAAGGAAGUGACGGCUAACUACGUGCCAGCAGCCGCGGUAAAACGUAAGUCACAAGCGUUGUCCGGAAUUACUGGGUGUAAAGGGAGCGCAGGCGGGAAGACAAGUUGGAAGUGAAAUCUAUGGGCUCAACCCAUAAACUGCUUUCAAAACUGUUUUUCUUGAGUAGUGCAGAGGUAGGCGGAAUUCCCGGUGUAGCGGUGGAAUGCGUAGAUAUCGGGAGGAACACCAGUGGCGAAGGCGGCCUACUGGGCACCAACUGACGCUGAGGCUCGAAAGUGUGGGUAGCAAACAGGAUUAGAUACCCUGGUAGUCCACACCGUAAACGAUGAUUACUAGGUGUUGGAGGAUUGACCCCUUCAGUGCCGCAGUUAACACAAUAAGUAAUCCACCUGGGGAGUACGACCGCAAGGUUGAAACUCAAAGGAAUUGACGGGGGCCCGCACAAGCAGUGGA
rnacentral:rRNA from 1 species